GGGCUGGUAGCUCAGGGGUAGAGCGCUCGCUUUGCAUGCGAGAGGUCUGGGGUUCAAAUCCCUACCGGUCCA